rnacentral:misc_RNA from 1 species
AAACAAUUUAGCACCGACAGGUACAUACAGGGCCGGCCGUAAAGCAGAGCCAACAGGAAACGGGUGCUGUUCAUAAUAUUAUAAAGAAGAAUGGUUACAUGACAAUCACGUGUGCAUAAACAUUAGUUAAACACAAAGACAACUGCAGUGAAAUGUGAAGCAAAAAUGACUACAUAUUCUUGACUUCUCAAAUCACAUUCCUGGGUUCCUCAGAUUACAACUGUAACAGGGCUUCUGUAAUUUACAAGGCCAUCAUAUCCCUAUAUUUGCCUGUAAGAAAUACAAUAUAGAAAGAGUACAAGCUAGAAAGAUGUAAAAUACAAGUUAGAUUAAGUGUGAAAUGUCGCAUUUUGGCAACAUAUUUCUGCCUCAUUUUGUAAAAGCAGCACUAGAGCCAAUUUGGGGGCAUCUUGCUCGACGUUGCCUUAGAGGAUGGAUCAUCUGAAACUUUCUCCAA